rnacentral:rRNA from 1 species
CCUACGGGAGGCUGCAGUGGGGAAUAUUGCACAAUGGGCGCAAGCCUGAUGCAGCCAGGCCGCGUGUGUGAAGAAGGCCUUCGGGUUGUAAAGCACUUUCAGCGGGGAGGAAGGCGUUAAGGUUAAUAACCUUGUCGAUUGACGUUACCCGCAGAAGAAGCACCGGCUAACUCCGUGCCAGCAGCCGCGGUAAUACGGAGGGUGCAAGCGUUAAUCGGAAUUACUGGGCGUAAAGCGCACGCAGGCGGUCUGUCAAGUCGGAUGUGAAAUCCCCGGGCUCAACCUGGGAACUGCAUUCGAAACUGGCAGGCUAGAGUCUUGUAGAGGGGGGUAGAAUUCCAGGUGUAGCGGUGAAAUGCGUAGAGAUCUGGAGGAAUACCGGUGGCGAAGGCGGCCCCCUGGACAAAGACUGACGCUCAGGUGCGAAAGCGUGGGGAGCAAACAGGAUUAGAUACCCCUGUAGUC